GCAUAACGCGAAGAACCUUACCAGGUCUUGACAUCCUCUGAAUAUCCUAGAGAUAGGGUAGGCCUUCGGGACAGAGGAGACAGGUGGUGCAUGGUUGUCGUCAGCUCGUGUCGUGAGAUGUUGGGUUAAGUCCCGCAACGAGCGCAACCCUUGAUCUUAGUUGCCAGCAUUCAGUUGGGCACUCUAAGGUGACUGCCGGUGACAAACCGGAGGAAGGUGGGGAUGACGUCAAAUCAUCAUGCCCCCUUAUGACCUGGGCUACACACGUACUACAAUGGUCGGUACAAAGGGCAGCGAAGCCGCGAGGUGGAGCCAAUCCCAUAAAGCCGNUCUCAGUUCGGAUUGCAGGCUGCAACUCGCCUGCAUGAAGUCGGAAUUGCUAGUAAACGCGGAUCAGCAUGCCGCGGUGAAUACGUUCCCGGGUCUUGUACACACCG
rnacentral:rRNA from 1 species